rnacentral:rRNA from 1 species
GCACAUCAGCGUCAGUUACAGACCAGAAAGUCGCCUUCGCCACUGGUGUUCCUCCAUAUCUCUGCGCAUUUCACCGCUACACAUGGAAUUCCACUUUCCUCUUCUGCACUCAAGUUUUCCAGUUUCCAAUGACCCUCCACGGUUGAGCCGUGGGCUUUCACAUCAGACUUAAAAAACCGCCUACGCGCGCUUUACGCCCAAUAAUUCCGGAUAACGCUUGCCACCUACGUAUUACCGCGGCUGCUGGCACGUAGUUAGCCGUGGCUUUCUGAUUAGGUACCGUCAAGAUGUGCACAGUUACUUACACAUAUGUUCUUCCCUAAUAACAGAGUUUUACGAUCCGAAGACCUUCAUCACUCACGCGGCGUUGCUCCGUCAGGCUUUCGCCCAUUGCGGAAGAUUCCCUACUGCUGCCUCCCGUAGGAGUCUGGACCGUGUCUCAGUUCCAGUGUGGCCGAUCACCCUCUCAGGUCGGCUAUGCAUCGUUGCCUUGGUAAGCCGUUACCUUACCAACUAGCUAAUGCAGCGCGGAUCCAUCUAUAAGUGACAGCAAGACCGUCUUUCACUUUUGAACCAUGCGGUUCAAAAUAUUAUCCGGUAUUAGCUCCGGUUUCCCGAAGUUAUCCCAGUCUUAUAGGUAGGUUAUCCACGUGUUACUCACCCGUCCGCCGCUAACAUCAGAGAAGCAAGCUUCUCGUCCGUUCGCUCGACUUGCAUGUAUUAGGCACGCCGCCAGCGUUCAUCCUGAGCCAGGAUCAAACCCUA